rnacentral:rRNA from 1 species
GACGGGGGGUCCUAGCGUUGUUCGGAAUCAUUGGGCGUAAAGCGUGUGCAGGUGGCUUUGUAAGUCAGAUGUGAAAGCCCCGGGCUUAACCCGGGAAGUGCAUUUGAAACUACAAAGCUUGAGUAUGGAAGAGGGUCGUGGAAUUCCAGGUGUAGUGGUGAAAUACGUAGAUAUCUGGAGGAACACCGGUGGCGAAGGCGGCGACCUGGUCCAAUACUGACACUCAUACACGAAAGCGUGGGGAUCAAACAGG